rnacentral:rRNA from 1 species
UACGAAGGGGGGCUAGCGUUGUUCGGAUUUACUGGGCGUAAAGCGCACGUAGGCGGUUUGUUAAGUCAGGGGUGAAAAUCCCAGAGCUCAACUCUGGAACUGCCUUUGAUACUGGCAAGCUAGAGUCCGGAAGAGGUAAGUGGAACUCCUAAGUGUAGAGGUGGAAUUCGUAGAUAUUAGGAAGAACACCAGUGGCGAAGGCGGCUUACUGGUCCGGAACUGACGCUGAGGUGCGAAAGCGUGGGAGCAAACAGG